rnacentral:rRNA from 1 species
UAAAAAUUUAAUUAAAUAUAUUAAAUUAGUAUUAGUUAAGUUCUUGAAAUUUAAAAAAUUUGGCGGUAUUUUAGUCUAUUCAGAGGAACCUGUUUUGUAAUUGAUAUUCCACGUUGUAUCUUACUUGAGUUUGUUUUAUAUAGUUUAUAUAUCGUCGUUUAUUAAAUAUUUUUUAAAAAUAAUAAUUUUUUUAAUUUUUAAUUUUAAAGUAUAUCAGAUCAAGAUGUAGCUUAUAUUUAAGUUUAUAAUGGGUUACAAUUAUUUUAUUAAUGGAAAUAAAUUUGUAAAUUAUUUAUUGAAAUUGGAUUUGAUAGUAAAUUUAUAUAGAUUAAUAAUUUGAUAAUAGCUCUAAAAUAUG